CCAGUGAGUACUAUAUCCAGCUGAGUUAUUAUUGCUCAAUUGGGGACUUCCUACCUGGUUUCUAUGCUGGUGAUGUGGUCCACCGUUUAGCGUGGCUGAAACAACAACCCAACUUCAUGGCUGAGCUGGCUUGUCCUCUGGCGUUAGAUCUGGAGUGAUACUGUCAGCUUCAAGCCUUUGCUUAACGCAACUUUGCUGUUUGUGAAGUGCUUUCUUGCUGCUGUCAUGCACACCCUCCACCUCCCCUUCACCACCUGGUCUUUACGGAUUCAUCAGCCUCAUACGCCUCAGCAGCCUCAGAGUCAUCAGCCACCACCACCACCAGUGUCUGGACUCUAUGGGGAGAUUUAUCCUGCUGCCGCUCAGAUGUCCCUCGAUCACAAAAUGUCUCCCUCUGGUGUCCAAGACUUCUGUUAAAUCUUAAUCAGCACAAAUUAUCUGUUAAUCUGUACACUCAUAUUCUGUAUUAGAAAUUAUCUUUACUUCAUUCUUCUGUCUCUCCUGAUUGAAUUAUUAGUGGUCAUUUGAUGUGCAUAGACUAAUACCAGUACAGUGAACCUUUUGGCUUCCUUAACAAUCCUGAUUUAAUGUUUUACGUAUCUUUACAUACAUGCGUUGUGGCAUUUUUUUAAGCGUCAAGAAGCCUCUUUGUUGGCUUUCAGUAAUGGCUUAAUUUUUCAGCCUCGCAGGUUGGUGCUUGGUAUCAAUGGAUGCCUUCAUAUAUCACACAAGAUAUCCCUUCCUUUGUGCUAGCUUAUAAAAUGAGGGCACCUAAAGACAGUAACUUUGGUCCCCCAGGUAUUUCAUAAUUAAAGUAACUGGAGGCAAAUUGGAGGCCAAUCCUUUUGGGAGUGCCACUGGCCUGUAUUUGGCGACGUACUUGAAAACUGUGGGCUAAUCAAUUACAUUACUAAUUACUAAACAGCAAAAUAAACGACUGAUAUUACUUGUACCUUUACUCUCUUUGAACACAAACCAGUACUAACAUUCUCUGUAUUAACACAUAUAGAAACAAGGUGUAAAGCAUGUUGCAAUGUUUUCAGGCAUUGCUGUGAUUAGUAGCUGUAAUGUAGUUACUGAAUUUCAAAUCCUAUGCCAUCACACUGCUUGUUAAGAAAAAAAGUAAUUACUGUACUAAGCAAUGUGUAACUGCCCAGCACUAGAGUGUCAUCUGACCAGGUCUAAAGGCAGAAGUGUUUAAACCUGUACCAACCAUAGCCUCCACCUGGCUGCAACACACUGCCACCUGAUUCCCUUCCAAGCAUCCUGUGUCUUUGAAUUCUGCGGGGAUAACAGGGCACACUUUCAGUCAGUCUCCCCUCAAAGGCAUUCAUGUUGCUGCACUCAGUUGUACACACUUAGGAGAGCUUGAGAGAGAAGUUAGACUCCUGCCUCACUUUCACACCUUGCUAAUCUCGGUUUUCCAAAAUGUUGGUUAAAUAGGCACGAGAGGAAAAGUCAGGGGACCACAAGUAGCCUACACUUCAAACACAAAUGACAAAAACUAGCUGAGUUAACUAUCUUUGAUGGCAAAAAGUAAAACUCUAGGAAGUUACUUAAUUUCAGAAAACCAGAAAACAUUUGAUGCAGAAUUUUUCAUAUGACAUGAAUGGUGGUCAGGAUUAGAAAGGUUACUUUAAAAAUGUUCUGAUACAAUUACUAAUUACCUGUAAAAAUCUGUUGUCAGUAACCUAAUCCAAGUUUCACAACAGUAACGAGAUAACUUUUAUUUAAACUCACUACACACUUGUGUAUUCUGUAAGACAACAGAACAAUGUAACCCUAGAAAUGAAAUUAGGAAAACCAAGAUUUUUGCCAUCAAAAAUGUGUCCUCUGCUCAGUGUAUAUUCUUAAAGAAAAACCGAACCGAACCUGUUCUCACUCCGAAGUUGUCAAAUACCAGCACUUGGGCAGUGACUUCUUCAUCAGACACUGAUGAAAAAGGCCGUCGUUUCAUGUUGUCAUG